GACGAACGCUGGCGGCGUGCUUAACACAUGCAAGUCGAACGGAAAGGCCCUGCUUUUGUGGGGUGCUCGAGUGGCGAACGGGUGAGGAACACGUGAGUAACCUGCCCUUGACUUUGGGAUAACUUCAGGAAACUGGGGCUAAUACCGGAUAGGAGCUCCUGCUGCAUGGUGGGGGUUGGAAAGUUUCGGCGGUUGGGGAUGGACUCGCGGCUUAUCAGCUUGUUGGUGGGGUAGUGGCUUACCAAGGCUUUGACGGGUAGCCGGCCUGAGAGGGUGACCGGCCACAUUGGGACUGAGAUACGGCCCAGACUCCUACGGGAGGCAGCAGUGGGGAAUAUUGCACAAUGGGCGGAAGCCUGAUGCAGCAACGCCGCGUGCGGGAUGACGGCCUUCGGGUUGAAAACCGCUUUCGCCUGUGACGAAGCGUGAGUGACGGUAAUGGGUAAAGAAGCACCGGCUAACUACGUG
rnacentral:rRNA from 1 species